rnacentral:rRNA from 1 species
AACGAACGCUGGCGGCAUGCCUAACACAUGCAAGUCGAACGAGACCUUCGGGUCUAGUGGCGCACGGGUGCGUAACGCGUGGGAACCUGCCCUUAGGUUCGGAAUAACUCCCCGAAAGGGGUGCUAAUACCGGAUAAUGUCUUCGGACCAAAGAUUUAUCGCCCUUGGAUGGGCCCGCGUUGGAUUAGCUAGUUGGUAGGGUAAAAGCCUACCAAGGCGACGAUCCAUAGCUGGUCUGAGAGGAUGAUCAGCCACACUGGGACUGAGACACGGCCCAGACUCCUACGGGAGGCAGCAGUGGGGAAUAUUGGACAAGGGGCGAAAGCCUGAUCCAGCAAUGCCGCGUGAGUGAUGAAGGCCUUAGGGUUGUAAAGCUCUUUUACCCGGGAUGAUAAUGACAGUACCGGGAGAAUAAGCUCCGGCUAACUCCGUG